CGCUGCUGGGAGGGCGGCUGCGAGUGCGCAUGUCUCUCUACGUGUAGCCAGGUUCCUCAUGAGCGGACGUCCAGAGCUGGGAAGGAAGAUAAGCGGCCCCUUUUCCAUGCAAACAAGACUUUGUCCCAUGCUUUUCUCAGGAAAAAUCAGGAUUUUUCUCUGUUUAUGAGUUAUCAACCAUUAUAAAGUUUUCAGCUACUGACUUGAUAAAAUGUCUUUCUUCUCGUCAUGGAUCAAAGCUAUUUUCAUCAUUUUCUUUGCAUUUCUUCUUUGCUCUGAAGCUUUCCUCCGAUAUAAAGUAAAAAUGGAUAAGACUAACUGUAUGUCAUUCAUGCUUUCACCACAUACUUGUACUGGAGAACAUGAGCCAGUCUGUGCAACCAAUGGUCAUACUUACCGUAAUAUAUGUAUUCUCUGCAGUGAAAAGAUGCUUCUUCGUAAAAAUUUUGAAGUUGCUCAUUUUGGUGUUUGUUGAAUUUUGAUGAAGAUAUACACCCUUAUAAUUCUAAUGUGAUCUAAUUUUGCAGUCAAUUCUACAAUUAGAAUUUGAUUUCUCUCAACUGGGUCCUUAAAUUCACAGAUGAUCAGAUAUAUCCUCUUAUGGAACAUGAGAUGGAAAAUAGAAUUUCAAAGUUAUUGCCAGUUCAAAGAUUUUUUUAUUUUAGGACUUUGAUUCUCCAUGUUUGGUUAUUUAGUGACAGUUUGAAAAAUAUCUUAAAUAUAUGUUUGAUAUCAUAAAACUUAAUACAAC
ensembl:lncRNA